UAGAAUUACGAGCGAGGGUUGUCGCUGGCCUCUUCCGGGAGGCAUGUGCACGCCCGAGCUCUUAAAUCCACAACCCACACCUGUGAACCCACCGUGGGCCCCUUCACGGGGGCUUACCUCUAUACACUCUGAAUGUCUCAUAGAAUGUCUCAUUGUUUGCCUUAAAAACGCAAUCGAAUA
rnacentral:misc_RNA from 1 species